AAAAUCGGGGAGGGGUGGUGCGGGGUAAUGAAAUUUGUAUGCAGAGAGUGACAGAUGUCCCCCACAAUGUCGCCCAGCAAAAGCGAUAAAAAUCAACCUUCUAAAUACAUUAUCCUUGAUUGGGAUGGCACUUGGGGCGAGUUCGCAAGCUGCUCGAAUUUGUUUAGCAGGCAGAUACACCAUCUUCCUGUAUUCACCUUGUGCAACAUCGAGUGAAUUGACACUGCCUGUAAACACAAUCGUUCCAAAACGAUCACAAAGGUGGCCUGGCGGCAUUCGGGAACGCAUGCUAUUGUUCGUAUCAUAUUCGCAGUAACUUUCGUGGUGAACGUGUCGCAAAUUAAAGCGAAAUUAACCCCACAGCGUUUCGCAACGGAAGUGAUCAGACACUGGGAAGCAUAUUGAAAAACGGAGACAACGCGGUACAAUAUUCCAGAUUUUUACCAACGUAAAAUUCGUACAGGAUCCUGCAUUGGGUGUUUCGUAUUGAUGAUGCAGAACGAGUCCACUGCGGCCAUGACCUCGGAUGCGGGAGGCCAAACGAGUCAAGCCAAACGAGGCUUGGCGAGCAAGGGAAAGAUAGCAGCGCAUUACCCCUACCAAAUGAGGAUUGAACCGCGGGCAGAAGGGUUCCUUGCUGAUAUUGUGUUCUGUUGUAUAUGUCAGCCGGCCCUCUACAUCCGUCCCUUUGUGACGGAAUUUGAGCAGCAGGUGGAUUGGUUGCACCAGAAUGUGCAGGCCGUGGCAGCGUCCCAGAUGCAGGCAGCAGGCGAGCAGGAGCAGGCGGUUAUGUUCGUGGCGGGUGCACCAUGCCUUGCUCGGUACAGUGCGGAUGGGACAUACUACCGGGCAAUCAUAGAGAAGGUGGACGAUGUGCAAGAUGCCGUCCAUGUCCUGUACGUGGAUUAUCACACUAGGGAAAUUUUGCCGAAGAGGGAUAUCUGCGAGUGCCCGCUAGAAUUGCGUUUGAUACCGCUGAGUUUUGCAUGUGUGCGGCUGGCGGGCGUUCAGCCAAACGCCACACGACCCAUUGCAGAGGUUUACGGACGGCUGCAGGAGCUUCUUGGAGCAGCAUCAUUUUAUGUGCGAUUCAUCCAGCGCCCUGACGUGGAGGAGAGUACGAGUUUGCCAGAGGUAGAGCUCUUCACGGCGAAGGACUGCCAAACGCUCGCUUAUCAGACUUUAAUAGAUGAACAAUAUUUGGUUGCUGAUACCAACCAGUAAAUCAUUUGCGACACCCAUGGACAACCAAGUCCAUGGCUCUUCGCUAACUUUUAUUACUUUUUUUAUGAUUUGAUCACUACAAAUUUCGAUCGUUCAUGCUACACAGUUACGCCGCUGUUGGCAGUUCGAUUAGUAAUUCAUCACUCAUA